ACGAGAGAGGUUUAUCAAAAAGAAUAAUAAAGUAACGCACAAACACUCUUUUGUGUACGUUUCAUGUGCACGCACAUAUGUUAUUACAUAUUUUCUUAAAUUAUG
rnacentral:ribozyme from 14 species